rnacentral:tRNA from 1 species
GGAGGGAUGCCGGAGCGGCUGAACGGACCCGCCUGGAAAGUGGGUAGACCUCGCAAGGGGUCUCGGGGGUUCAAAUCCCUCUCCCUCCGCCA